AUUGAACGCUGGCGGCAUGCCUUACACAUGCAAGUCGAACGGUAACGGGCCUUCGGGUGCCGACUAGUGGCGAACGGGUGAGUAAUACAUCGGAACGUGCCCGAUCGUGGGGGAUAACGAGGCGAAAGCUUUGCUAAUACCGCAUACGAUCUACGGAUGAAAGCAGGGGACCGCAAGGCCUUGCGCGGACGGAGCGGCCGAUGGCAGAUUAGGUAGUUGGUGGGAUAAAAGCUUACCAAGCCGACGAUCUGUAGCUGGUCUGAGAGGAUGAUCAGCCACACUGGGACUGAGACACGGCCCAGACUCCUACGGGAGGCAGCAGUGGGGAAUUUUGGACAAUGGGCGCAAGCCUGAUCCAGCCAUGCCGCGUGCAGGAUGAAGGCCUUCGGGUUGUAAACUGCUUUUGUACGGAACGAAAAGCCUUCUUUUAAUACAGGAGGGUCAUGACGGUACCGUAAGAAUAAGCACCGGCUAACUACGUG
rnacentral:rRNA from 1 species